GUUAUAUGGUCAAGCGAAUAAGCGCACACGGUGGAUGCCUUGGCGGUCAGAGGCGAUGAAGGACGUGGCAGCCUGCGAAAAGUAUCGGGGAGCUGGCAACAAGCUUUGAUCCGGUAAUGUCCGAAUGGGGAAACCCACCCGCUUGCGGGUAUCCUGCAGUGAAUACAUAGCUGCUGGAAGCGAACCUGGUGAACUGAAAUAUCUAAGUAACCAGAGGAAAAGAAAUCAACCGAGAUUCCGUAAGUAGCGACGAGCGAACGCGGACUAGCCCUUAAGCUGGAUUGGUUCUAGGAAAACGCUCUGGAAAGAGCGGCCAUAGAAGGUGAUAGCCCUGUAUCUGAAAGGGCCAUUCCAGUGAAGACGAGUAGGGCGGGGCACGUGAAACCCUGUCUGAACAUGGGGGGACCAUCCUCCAAGGCUAAAUACUACUGACCGACCGAUAGUGAACCAGUACCGUGAGGGAAAGGCGAAAAGAACCCCGGAGAGGGGAGUGAAAUAGAACCUGAAACCGUGUGCGUACAAGCAGUAGGAGCUCCGCAAGGAGUGACUGCGUACCUUUUGUAUAAUGGGUCAGCGACUUACUGUUCGUGGCAAGCUUAACCGUAUAGGGGAGGCGAAGGGAAACCGAGUCUGAUAAGGGCGCAUAGUCGCGGGCAGUAGACCCGAAACCGGGUGAUCUAGUCAUGCCCAGGGUGAAGGUGCGGUAACACGCACUGGAGGCCCGAACCCACUCCCGUUGCAAAGGUAGGGGAUGAGGUGUGAUUAGGAGUGAAAAGCUAAUCGAACCCGGAGAUAGCUGGUUCUCCUCGAAAGCUAUUUAGGUAGCGCCUCAUAUGUAUCCUCUCGGGGGUAGAGCACUGUUAUGGCUAGGGGGUCAUCGCGACUUACCAAACCAUUGCAAACUCCGAAUACCGAGACGGACUGUAUGGGAGACACACGGCGGGUGCUAACGUCCGUCGUGAAAAGGGAAACAACCCAGACCCACAGCUAAGGUCCCAAAUUUUGUGCUAAGUGGAAAACCAUGUGGAAAGGCACAGACAGCCAGGAGGUUGGCUUAGAAGCAGCCACCCUUUAAAGAAAGCGUAAUAGCUCACUGGUCGAGUCGGUCUGCGGGGAAGAUUUAACGGGGCUAAGCACAGAACCGAAGCUUGGGGUGCAUAACUUUGUUAUGCGCGGUAGAGGAGCGUUCCGUAAGCCGUUGAAGGUGGAUUGAGAAGUCUGCUGGAGGUAUCGGAAGUGCGAAUGCUGACAUGAGUAACGAUAAUGCGGGUGAAAAACCCGCACGCCGAAAGCCCAAGGUUUCCUUGCGCAACGUUAAUCGGCGCAGGGUGAGUCGGCCCCUAAGGCGAGGACGAAAGUCGUAGUCGAUGGGAAGCAGGUUAAUAUUCCUGCACCUCGCGUAAGUGCGAUGGAGGGACGGAGAAGGUUAGGUGUACCAGGCGUUGGUUGUCCUGGGGAAAGGCGGUAGGUUUGGAUCUUUGGCAAAUCCGGGAUCCUCUAAGACCGAGCACCGAGACGAGCCUUUAAGGCGAAGUCACUGAUACCACGCUUCCAGGAAAAGCUCCUAAGCUUCAGCUUACGCAGACCGUACCGUAAACCGACACAGGUGGGUAGGAUGAGAAUUCUCAGGCGCUUGAGAGAACUCGGGUGAAGGAACUAGGCAACAUGGCACCGUAACUUCGGGAGAAGGUGCACCCUUUUUGGUGGCUCGUGCGAGCUAUAGCUGAAGAGGGUCGCAGUAACCAGGCCGCUGCGACUGUUUAUCAAAAACACAGCACUCUGCAAACACGAAAGUGGACGUAUAGGGUGUGACGCCUGCCCGGUGCUGGAAGGUUAAUUGAUGGGGUCAGCCGCAAGGCGAAGCUCUUGAUCGAAGCCCCAGUAAACGGCGGCCGUAACUAUAACGGUCCUAAGGUAGCGAAAUUCCUUGUCGGGUAAGUUCCGACCUGCACGAAUGGCGUAACGACAGCGGCGCUGUCUCCACCCGAGACUCAGUGAAAUUGAAAUCGCUGUGAAGAUGCAGCGUUCCCGUGGCAAGACGGAAAGACCCCGUGAACCUUUACUAUAGCUUUACACUGAACGUUGAGUUCGUCUGUGUAGGAUAGGUGGGAGGCUAUGAAACCAUGGCGCUAGCUGUGGUGGAGCCAUCCUUGAAAUACCACCCUGUCGUGCUUGACGUUCUAACCUGGGCCCAUUAUCUGGGUCGGGGACCGUGUAUGGUGGGUAGUUUGACUGGGGCGGUCUCCUCCUAAAGAGUAACGGAGGAGCUCGAAGGUACGCUCAGCGCGGUCGGACAUCGCGCACUGUGUGCAAAGGCAUAAGCGUGCUUGACUGCAAGAUCGACGGAUCAAGCAGGUAGGAAACUAGGACUUAGUGAUCCGGUGGUUCUGUAUGGAAGGGCCAUCGCUCAACGGAUAAAAGGUACUCCGGGGAUAACAGGCUGAUACCGCCCAAGAGUUCAUAUCGACGGCGGUGUUUGGCACCUCGAUGUCGGCUCAUCACAUCCUGGGGCUGUAGUCGGUCCCAAGGGUAUGGCUGUUCGCCAUUUAAAGUGGUACGCGAGCUGGGUUCAGAACGUCGUGAGACAGUUCGGUCCCUAUCUGCCAUGGGCGUUGGAGAUUUGAGAGGGGCUGCUCCUAGUACGAGAGGACCGGAGUGGACGAACCUCUGGUGUUCCGGUUGUCACGCCAGUGGCAUUGCCGGGUAGCUAUGUUCGGAAGCGAUAACCGCUGAAAGCAUCUAAGCGGGAAGCGCGCCUCAAGAUGAGAUCUCCCGGGGCACAAGCCCCCUGAAGGAACCAUGUAGACUACGUGGUUGAUAGGUCAGGUGUGUAAGUACAGCAAUGUAUUGAGCUAACUGAUACUAAUGAUCCGUGCGGCUUGACCAUAUAACCU
rnacentral:rRNA from 1 species